UAGAAAUAGCUGCAUGACCAGGCCUCGUC
rnacentral:piRNA from 1 species